UCAAACAUGCCGCAGUCCUGCCUCAGCCUCAUGGCUGUGGUACCGUAGAUGUGCACCACCACACUUGGUAACAGUCCAGUUUUGUUUUUUGUUUGAUUUUCUUUUAGAAGACAGGGACUCUCUGCAGAGCUCUGGCUCAUUAUUGUAGACCAGGCUGGCCUUGAACUCACAGAUUUAUCUGCCUGCCUCUGCCUUCUGACUUUUGGGACUAAAAGUGUGCACCACCAUGUCUGGCUUCUGGUUUUGUAAAUUAAUAUUUCUCAGCAUCAUAUCAUCUACGGAUAUUUUUCACACCAGUGGUAGAACAAAAAUAUGAAUAACCAAUAGUAUAAACGAAGUUGCUGCUUACCUUGUCCCCAAAAGUUUGGGUGGCUUCUAGGAUCUUUGGAUCAUAGGCUUAUCUGGCUGAAUCAGGAUUAAGGAUCCUGAGGGUAGGACCUAGCAAUAAAAUGCUUGAGUAGAAUACCCCAGCGAGAAGUUGGUCAAGAAUCUAUUGGAUCCUGCCCAUGGUAGGGCAUGGCAGAAGCUCCCCAGAAGCAGAGCUGGGCUCCUCUCUGUUGUUGGCCCUGGGAGGCUGUUAGGCAUUUUAGGCAUGGCGGUGGUGGGAUCAACUAGUGCCUUUGUACACACUGUAUGUGUCGAGUCUUGGCGGUUUCUCUCUGCAGUCCACUAGAUAUUAGAUUGAAUUCAUGACAAGUACAGAAGCUAUUAUUUCUUGAGAAUCUUUUGAGAGGUGGACCUAACAGUUGUUUCUGUUUUGUUGGGUUUGUUGUUUUUUUUCUUUGUUUGUUUGUUUGUUUGUUUUUGGUUGGUUUGUUUUGUUUUUAGUACUGGGAGUUUAAGGCAAGGUCUCACUGAGUUCCCAAAGCUGGCCUGAGCCUCACCGUGUGUGUAACCUGGGCAGAUUACAAGCAUCCUACACUUCUGCCGGUUUUCUAGCCCUGGCGAGCAGGGUUCAAAGCACUACCUUCUCUAGCCCCAUCUUACAGGUCAGACAGGCCAGUGGGCCUUUGGAAGGGCCCCAUUCACUGACCAGCGCUGGGACAGGAGCCAGGGCCAUCCAUCUGAUCCUACUGACCAGUUGGUGUGGGUCAGGGAAGGGGCCAGGCAAGGACUCAGAUGCUUAAAAUACUUCUCAAGUGUGAGCGACCGCAGGGGCACAGAGCCCUGAGGCCAUACCUCCUAUUGGGGUCAGACUCCUAGAGGUGAGCAGGGUGGGUGUGCCCUGCGCCGGGUUCACUGGAUUCCGUUAUACUUCUACUUAGGAGCUGGGCUGCCAUCUUGUCAUUCCCCAGCCUCAGUUGGCUCCACCACAGCUGAUGACAGGAGCUCCUCCCAGGUGUGUAUUGACGUGCAUUCACGUGACCUGGCCUGUCCUUCUCAGUGAUGGCGGCUCCCACACAGAAAGUGCUGGGAAUGGUGGAGCUGUCGCUCUGGUCCUGAGCUGUCAAAUACUCAGGAAAAUACAGAGGUAGUAUGUCAGCUUUGCUGGGAUUUUCUUUCUGGCAUCCCACGCCCCCUGAUGAUCUGGGCAAUGUCGUUUUUGAGGCUGAGGCCGGAAGGUCCUUGACUGAGUCCAUGAUGCCCAGCGCUUGGCAAGUGGAGCCAGUGCAGGAGUCUGAGGUCAGCCUAGGGUACAUGAGAUUUCAAAUGAAGCAAAAGCUAGGGACGUCUGUUUUUGACGUCUGUUUUGAGGCCUUACUGAGCUCCAUCCGACAAGCUCUCUGUGGUGGUAUCUACUUAGAAUCCCAGUGCUAGGAGUGGAUUCCUUGGGGGCCUGUUGGCCACUCAGCCUAGCUUAAUUUGUGAGUUCUAGGCCAGCAACGAAGCUCCGGAGGGGAAGGGACUUGUCAAGGAUCCGACUUUGGUCCCUAACCCUCAACAAGGUGGAAGGACAAAACGGAUUCGCACAAGUUGUAAUCCAGCAGAUAGUUGUACCAUAGUGCCUGCAUGUGUACACAUAGUUAUAUUUAUGAGUUUAUAUUUAUUGUUGAAUUCUUAAAAAACGAGGGCCAGCAAGAAGGUUCAUGAGAUAGAGGUGCCUGUCUCAAUCUGGAACCUUUCCUGGGGAGUUCCCAGCAGGGUCUUUACCCUUGAGUCACAUUCCAGCCCUUCACUGUGGGACUCUAGGCAGGGGCUGUGACUGCUGAGAUACAUCCUCAGUCUAUGAAAUGACAUUUUAAACUUCCUUAUUUCCACAAGU
rnacentral:lncRNA from 1 species